GGUAACUAUAGCAUAGGAGAAAUACCCGUUCCCAUUCCGAACACGGAAGUUAAGCCCUAUUGCGCCGAUGGUAUUGCGUGGGUAGCUGCGUGAGAGAGUAGGUCGUUACC
rnacentral:rRNA from 1 species